UACGGGGGGGGCAAGCGUUGUUCGGAAUUACUGGGCGUAAAGGGCUCGUAGGUGGCCAACUAAGUCAGACGUGAAAUCCCUCGGCUUAACCGGGGAACUGCGUCUGAUACUGGAUGGCUUGAGUUCGGGAGAGGGAUGCGGAAUUCCAGGUGUAGCGGUGAAAUGCGUAGAUAUCUGGAGGAACACCAAUGGCGAAGGCAGCUCACUGGGACGGUAUUGACGCUGAGACGCGAAAGCGUGGGGAGCAAACAGG
rnacentral:rRNA from 1 species